rnacentral:rRNA from 1 species
UGCAGUCGAACGGUAACAUUUCUAGCUUGCUAGAAGAUGACGAGUGGCGGACGGGUGAGUAAUGCUUGGGAACUUGCCUUUGCGAGGGGGAUAACAGUUGGAAACGACUGCUAAUACCGCAUAAUGUCUUCGGACCAAACGGGGCUUAGGCUCCGGCGCAAAGAGAGGCCCAAGUGAGAUUAGCUAGUUGGUAAGGUAACGGCUUACCAAGGCGACGAUCUCUAGCUGUUCUGAGAGGAAGAUCAGCCACACUGGGACUGAGACACGGCCCAGACUCCUACGGGAGGCAGCAGUGGGGAAUAUUGCACAAUGGGGGAAACCCUGAUGCAGCCAUGCCGCGUGUGUGAAGAAGGCCUUCGGGUUGUAAAGCACUUUCAGUUGUGAGGAAAAGUUAGUAGUUAAUACCUGCUAGCCGUGACGUUAACAACAGAAGAAGCACCGGCUAACUCCGUGCCAGCAGCCGCGGUAAUACGGAGGGUGCGAGCGUUAAUCGGAAUUACUGGGCGUAAAGCGCACGCAGGCGGUUUGUUAAGCUAGAUGUGAAAGCCCCGGGCUCAACCUGGGAUGGUCAUUUAGAACUGGCAGACUAGAGUCUUGGAGAGGGGAGUGGAAUUCCAGGUGUAGCGGUGAAAUGCGUAGAUAUCUGGAGGAACAUCAGUGGCGAAGGCGACUCCCUGGCCAAAGACUGACGCUCAUGUGCGAAAGUGUGGGUAGCGAACAGGAUUAGAUACCCUGGUAGUCCACACCGUAAACGCUGUCUACUAAGCUGUGUGUGCCUUUAAGGCGUGCGUAGCGAAGCUAACGCGCUAAGUAGACCGCCUGGGGGAGUACGGCCGCAAGGUUAAACUCAAUUGAAAUUGACGGGGGCCCGCACAAGCGGUGGGAGCAUGUGGUUUAAUUCGAUGCAACGCGAAGAACCUUACCUACACUUGACAUGGUGAGAAGUU